rfam:Pichia guilliermondii ATCC 6260 scaffold_3 genomic scaffold, whole genome shotgun sequence.
GGACGCGUGGUCUAGUGGUAUGACGUCUGCUUCACACGCAGAAGAUCUCCAGUUCGAUCCUGGGCGUGUUCA